AACAAGGCUCGGUGUGAAAGCACGGCAUGGUGGGCACCAAUGGGCUGAGAAGUACAAGAGAAUGGUCUUCCCCACCAAGUCGGCCACCUUGACCUGAAAUAGUGGAUUGAUUUUCACUCAUAUCAGCAUUUUAGUUAAGAAAAGUAAACAUGAUAUGGUAAGAAUUGCCAGCAUCAAAGGAAAACAAACAAUCAUACCUUAGCCCCAUCCUUCCCUAGGACAAAAUCCAAACCCCCUGAAACCAGAACUGAUUCCAGAGUUUGUGUUGCCUCACUUGCUUUCUCUAUUUCUUUAAGCUCCGCAAAUUUUUCGGGGGUGAAGGGGUAGGCCACAAUCCCAUGUUCAUCAAUCGCAUCAGCAGCAUUAGGGUGGAGAGUUUUUCCAUCUGGCCCGAUAAUGACAACAGUGGGAAGGGUCGAGAGCUCGAAGUACCUAGCCAAUUUCUCACAGCUCUUGUCUUUCGAAGGCAAUGCCAACCAUGGUGCCCCAAAGCUUUGCUUGAAGGAUUCCUCAUCAUCAUCAAGCG
rnacentral:lncRNA from 1 species